rnacentral:rRNA from 1 species
UGAGGAAUCUUGCGCAAUGGGGGAAACCCUGACGCAGCAACGCCGCGUGAGUGAGGAAGGUCUUCGGAUCGUAAAGCUCUGUCAGAUGGGAAGAAAUGCAUGGAGGUGAAUAGCCUUCAUGUUUGACGGUACCAUCAGAGGAAGCACCGGCUAACUCCGUGCCAGCAGCCGCGGUAAUACGGGGGGUGCAAGCGUUGUUCGGAAUCAUUGGGCGUAAAGAGCGUGUAGGCGGCUUGAUAAGUCAGAUGUGAAAGCCCCGGGCUUAACCCGGGAAGUGCAUUUGAAACUGUCAGGCUUGAGUAGGGGAGAGGGAAGUGGAAUUCCUGGUGUAGAGGUGAAAUUCGUAGAGAUCGGGAGGAAUACCAGUGGCGAAGGCGCCCUUCUGGACGGUUACUGACGCUGAGACGCGAAAGCGUGGGGAGCAAACA